rfam:Ferrimicrobium acidiphilum DSM 19497 strain T23 FEAC_contig000016, whole genome shotgun sequence.
GGGGGCGUAGCUCAGCUGGAAGAGCGCCUGCUUUGCACGCAGGAGGUCAGGGGUUCGAGUCCCCUCGUCUCCA